rnacentral:rRNA from 1 species
GACGAACGCUGGCGGCGUGCUUAACACAUGCAAGUCGAACGGAAAGGCCCUGCUUUUGUGGGGUGCUCGAGUGGCGAACGGGUGAGUAACACGUGAGUAACCUGCCCUUGACUUUGGGAUAACUUCAGGAAACUGGGGCUAAUACCGGAUAGGAGCUCCUGCUGCAUGGUGGGGGUUGGAAAGUUUCGGCGGUUGGGGAUGGACUCGCGGCUUAUCAGCUUGUUGGUGAGGUAGUGGCUUACCAAGGCUUUGACGGGUAGCCGGCCUGAGAGGGUGACCGGCCACAUUGGGACUGAGAUACGGACCAGACUCCUACGGGAGGCAGCAGUGGGGAAUAUUGCACAAUGGGCGGAAGCCUGAUGCAGCAACGCCGCGUGCGGGAUGACGGCCUUCGGGUUGUAAACCGCUUUCGCCUGUGCCGAAGCGUGAGUGACGGUAAUGGGUAAAGAAGCACCGGCUAACUACGUG